CGCCGAAAGACCAAGGGUUCCAGUCCAACGUUAAUCGGGGCUGGGUGAGUCGACCCCUAAGGCGAGGCCGAAAGGCGUAGUCGAUGGGAAAAUGGUUAAUAUUCCAUUACUUCUGUGUAAUGCGAUGAGAGGACGGAGAAGGCUAAAUCAGCCUGGCGUUGGUUGUCCAGGUGAAAGGAUGUAGGCAUGUAUCUUAGGCAAAUCCGGGGUACUCUAUGCUGAGAUCUGAUAGCAAGCUGUACUUGUACAGCGAAGUGGUUGAUGCCAUGCUUCCAGGAAAAGUCUCUAAGCUUCAGUUACACAGGAAUCGUACCCGAAACCGACACAGGUGGUCAGGUCGAGUAGACCAAGGCGCUUGAGAGAACUCUGCUGAAGGAACUAGGCAAAAUGGUACCGUAACUUCGGGAGAAGGUACGCUGUUGUUGGUGAUGGAACUUGCUUCCUGAGCUGACGACAGCCGCAGAAACCAGGCCGCUGCAACUGUUUAUUAAAAACAUAGCACUCUGCAAACACGAAAGUGGACGUAUAGGGUGUGAUGCCUGCCCGGUGCUGGAAGGUUAAUUGAUGGGGUUAGCGUAAGCGAAGCUCUUGAUCGAAGCCCCAGUAAACGGCGGCCGUAACUAUAACGGUCCUAAGGUAGCGAAAUUCCUUGUCGGGUAAGUUCCGACCUGCACGAAUGGCAUAAUGAUGGCGGCGCUGUCUCCAGCAGAGGCUCAGUGAAAUCGAAAUCGCUGUGAAGAUGCAGUGUACCCGCGGCUAGACGGAAAGACCCCGUGAACCUUUACUGCAGCUUGACACUGAACUUUGACCUUACUUGUGUAGGAUAGGUGGGAGGCUUUGAAGCUGGAACGCUAGUUCCAGUGGAGCCGUCCUUGAAAUACCACCCUGGUAAUGUUGAGGUUCUAACUCUGUCCCGUGAUCCGGGACGAGGACCGUGUCUGGUGGGUAGUUUGACUGGGGCGGUCUCCUCCUAAAGAGUAACGGAGGAGUACGAAGGUGCGCUCAGCGUGGUCGGAAAUCACGCGUAGAGUAUAAAGGCAAAAGCGCGCUUAACUGCGAGACCCACAAGUCGAGCAGGUACGAAAGUAGGUCUUAGUGAUCCGGUGGUUCUGUAUGGAAGGGCCAUCGCUCAACGGAUAAAAGGUACUCUGGGGAUAACAGGCUGAUACCGCCCAAGAGUUCAUAUCGACGGCGGUGUUUGGCACCUCGAUGUCGGCUCAUCUCAUCCUGGGGCUGAAGCAGGUCCCAAGGGUAUGGCUGUUCGCCAUUUAAAGAGGUACGCGAGCUGGGUUUAGAACGUCGUGAGACAGUUCGGUCCCUAUCUACCGUGGGCGCUGGAAAUUUGAGAGGAUCUGCUCCUAGUACGAGAGGACCAGAGUGGACGAACCUCUGGUGUACCGGUUGUGACGCCAGUCGCAUCGCCGGGUAGCUAUGUUCGGAAGGGAUAACCGCUGAAAGCAUCUAAGCGGGAAGCCUACCUCAAGAUAAGAUUUCCCUAGGACUUUAUGUCCUCUAAAGAGCCGUUCGAGACUAGGACGUUGAUAGGUUGGAUGUGGAAGCAUAGUGAUAUGUGAAGCUGACCAAUACUAAUUGCUCGUGAGGCUUGACUAU
rnacentral:rRNA from 1 species